UAUCUAGAUGAGCUAAAUCUAGAUAUGCAGGUUUCCUCACGAUGUUUUUCUUCACCGUAAGAGCGAUGGUAUACAUUGUACUUAAAUUCAAAGAACUCAUUGGCACAUGUGGGUGUUGACCCCCGUAUCUCUGGCGCGAGAAGCGGGCGCUUAUCCGACUGAGCUACACUGGUCUAUCAGUUUCAAUAUCAUUUAAAUGACUUUAUUGUUUUAAAAUAAUGUAUUUCUACACUUACCUUCUCAUUAUAGAGGCAUGGCCCGGGGGCAGCGGCGGUAUUCCCGAAAAAAUAGGAAAGCUGAAAUUUAGAAGAAAAAAAAUAUUAAAUAAAGAUAUAAGAAGAGAUGUAAGAAGGCAAGCUGACAAUGGGAUGGUUCGCUGAAGCAUCGGCAAGCUGAAUGUGAGAUGGUAUGUUGAUGUCCUGUACAUUGACACGGAAAUGAGGCAUUGAAGAUGUUAUGUUGGGGACAAUGCAUGAUAGAACAG